CUUAGUGUCAAUGGGUGUAUUAGGUUGGAAAGAAUGGCUGAUGGACAUGAGUCGACUAAGGGCCUGCUCUAUUGUUUGGUAUGAGUUGUCAAGAAGAGUGGAAAGGAAGGGGAGCUACUGACUGGCUCAUCUUUGCUAAAUUCUUUGUCCAUAAUUCAAAGAAAGAACUCAUCUUUGGUGGAAGGUGCCAGCUUCAAAUCAUCUUCUGAGGGACAAAAUACCAGCUUCCCUAAAUCUGGUUAAGCAGAGGUUCAGAGGCAUCCAAUGCUGGCAGACCGGAUCACUGAUGGAGCAGGAAAUGCAUUAGAGGGUAGGCAGGUGACUCCAGUGCAGAGGAUGUGGCAUUCCAAUGUUGGAUGGAUUUACAAUCAAGCUGUAAUUGUCUCCAACAAUCACGUCUCCGCAAUGGGGACAAAAUUAAAUAGACCAUCAAAUUGUAGUUGUCUAAGCCAA